GCAGUCGUGGCCGAGUGGUUAAGGCGAUGGACUAGAAAUCCACUGGGAUCUCCCCGCACAGGUUGGUUAAGUGGUUAAGACGUCUGCC
rnacentral:tRNA from 1 species